UGGCGAACGGGUGAGUAACACGUGAGUAACCUGCCCUUAACUCUGGGAUAAGCCUUGGAAACGGGGUCUAAUACUGGAUAUUGACUUUUCCUCGCAUGGGGAUUGGUUGAAAGAUUUAUUGGUUUUGGAUGGACUCGCGGCCUAUCAGCUUGUUGGUGAGGUAAUGGCUCACCAAGGCGACGACGGGUAGCCGGCCUGAGAGGGUGACCGGCCACACUGGGACUGAGACACGGCCCAGACUCCUACGGGAGGCAGCAGUGGGGAAUAUUGCACAAUGGGCGAAAGCCUGAUGCAGCGACGCCGCGUGAGGGAUGACGGCCUUCGGGUUGUAAACCUCUUUCAGUAGGGAACAAGGCCAGUGUUUAGCUGGUUGAGGGUACUUGCAGAAGAAGCGCCGGCUAACUACGUGCCAGCAGCCGCGGUAAUACGUAGGGCGCAAGCGUUAUCCGGAAUUAUUGGGCGUAAAGAGCUCGUAGGCGGUUUGUCGCGUCUGCCGUGAAAGUCCGGGGCUCAACCCCGGAUCUGCGGUGGGUACGGGCAGACUAGAGUGAUGUAGGGGAGACUGGAAUUCCUGGUGUAGCGGUGAAAUGCGCAGAUAUCAGGAGGAACACCGAUGGCGAANGCAGGUCUCUGGGCAUUAACUGACGCUGANGAGCGAAAGCAUGGGGAGCGAACAGGAUUAGAUACCCUGGUAGUCCAUGCCGUAAACGUUGGGCACUNNUGUGGGGGACAUUCCACGUUUUCCGCGCCGUAGCUAACGCAUUAAGUGCCCCGCCUGGGGAGUACGGCGCAAGGCUAAAACUCAAAGGAAUUGACGGGGCCCGCACAGCGGCGGAGCAUGCGGAUUAAUUCGAUGCACGCGAGAACUUAC
rnacentral:rRNA from 1 species